UAAUGCAUAUAGAAAGGAAAUGAAUAGCAGAAACAGCUACCACAAAUCUUGAAUGUCGUUACUAAGGCUAUGUAGAUUUAUACUAUUGUUGACAGAGAUGUGAUUGUUAAAAUUUACGAGAGAUGCUGUUCGGAUUUAUAUCACUUUGGAAAUAUUUUCUUAGUUCACUGCCAUCAAGAGAUGAUAUAUUUAAUUAUUUUCGAUUGAAGGCUGGAGUUUGUUCGCUAGAGUUUUACAAUUGGAAACCUCCAAAAUUCAAUGGCUCGAAACAAGUACGAGUUCUCCUUUUCCGAGAAUGUGACUGGAGAGGUAGAAAACUGUUGUUUGAUUCAAAAUCUGUGAAGAAACUUUCUCGCCAAGAUCUCAAUUCAUCUUGUGACUUGAAAAGGCUUAAAGUUAAUGGCCAUGUAACUGGAUCAAACACAAUACCUCGCAGAAAAAAUGACCAGCAUAGGGAAGUGGCCAGUGAUGGCACUGUUUAUCAGUACCUUAAGCCAUGUAGUGACGUUAAGAUGCUUGGAGAAAUGAUAUUUGGAUCUGUGACCAUGUCAUACAAAGGGGAUACUGUUAAAGUUCAUACAGUGAGGUCACCUCAAGAACUGAUGCUUAGUGUUGUUUUUCCUGCACCUCUUCCAAAUAAAAAAAUGGGUGAUAGGGAUCUUGAAGUUUCAUCUAGCCUGCACAAUUCUACUAGUGAAAUUCUAAUAUCAAAAUGUGGUGAAAAGAUGGAAUCAUUAUGUGUAGCUCACAGUGUUCCCGUGGAUGUGCCAGGUCACACUUCUGUUUUACAGCAAAGGAAUGACGGUGGUUGUUUGCCUUCUGGAAGUCACACUUUCCUGGCAGACUCUUUACAUUCCACAGCCAGUAGUAAUAGCCUACUUAGUUUUCCUGUUACUCCUGACACUGCCAGUUCUAGUCUAUCACAUUCUGGUAGUUUCAGUAGUCUUCAGCGAAGAUGGCUUCGAAAUCUAACCACUAGCAUGGAGGUUUGGCUACGACGUCGUUCAGAAGAUUCACCUCAAAGUGAGGAGCCUAAAAGAUCCUCUGGCCAUACAAGGACAAGAUUAGGAUUGAGUAUUAUCAUUUCUCUGGAAGAAGGAAACUUAGAAGAAGAAAGUAGGUUCCAUGAUUUUUUUUUCUCUCACAUUGCCCUAAUAGAAAGUCAUGUGACCCAAUUAAAGGACCUUGUCUUAGGGAGCUAUUUAAACCGCAAGAAUUUUGUAAAUGCAAUAUACAAGGGAGUAGAGCAGCUUCAAGCAUCUUUACAAGAUCUUGUCACGGGUCCUCGCCUCAUGUCUCCAGUAUGGUUAUCUAUGAUGUCUCCCUCGGUUAAUCAUCAUCUUCACUGCACGAGGUUCAUCAGUGAAUUCAUUGCACUCCUUGAAGAAUUUGAUACCAAGUAUACAAACUUCUUCGUCAGCACACUGUUGACAGCAGUCUUGACUCACCAUCUAGCAUGGGUUCCUACAGUUUCUCCACCAGGUGUCACAACCAACCACUUUGACCAUAGGAAGCACACAGCACAAUGGGUGGACAUGCUGGCCAAGUCUCAUCCAUAUAAUCCAUUAUGGAUGCAACUAGGGGAUCUAUAUGGAGCUCUUGGAACUCCAACCAAAUUAUCAAAAACUGUUAUCACAGGAAAAAAAGCUGAUGUCAUUUUGCGAUUUUUGUACAUUCUAAGCUACUUCAUUCGCUGUAGUGAUAUUUGUGAAUAUGAGCAGGAUUGGUCCAAAAGUGAUAAAGGAAAGUGGAUUCACCAAAACACAUCUUCAAGUGAAGCUACCCAUAAACUUGGUCAAAAAGCUGACUUUGACAUUAGUUGUAGUGAUGAUCAAUGUCCAUGUGAGAGAUUAGCUGAUGGAAGGGAUCAACUCUGGAUGUACAAGAAUAUUAAUUUCAAAACACCACAGAAAUUUGAAAUUGUAGAGAAGCAACAGGCUGUAACAGCUACAGCAGAGCAUAUGUGCAGAUAUGAGACAGCAGAAGAUAGAUUUCGCUUGCAUAAGCAACUUUACUGGAAAUCUUGCAGAAAUCAAAUUGAUCAAAUUUUAGAGGGAGAUCAACAACACAGGAAACCAAUACAUAAUGUAGAACUUUACCAGCGUAGUCACAAUGCUUUUACAGUAAUUCCUGAAGAAAGAGACAUGAACAGUGUUGUUUUUGUGCUUGGAGAAAGCCCACUGCAUUCCCAUUUUGAUUCAAAGAUUAAUGUUUGUAAGGAGUGUAAGGGAGUACAAGAACCACUAAACGAAGAAGGCUGUACACCUAAAGAAAUACCUACGUUAGACAGUUUGGGUUAUAAUAGCAUGGAGGAUAUACUAGAAUCCACAGCAGAGAACAGAAGAAUAGAAAAUGAAAUGGAAAAUACUAUGCAGGAAAAAGAAAUCUCAAGUAAAAAUUGUUUUGAACUAAACAAAUGCAACAAUUUGGUUACAGUAAAAGAAUUUGUCCCUCCUACAUUAAAAGUUGAACAUGUAAAAAAUGUAUAUACAAGUACACCAUUUAAAAAUAAUAAAAUCCUUUCGAAUCAUGAACAUAGUGAUACUUUACAUGACUCUUUGUUGUUAAGAUCCAGUGUUACUAGUGAAUGUUUUCUAGAUAGUGGAAAUUCUUCCAACUUGAAGAAAAUACCUGUUCACUCUGUAUCAUAUCCUGAUGAAUUGCAGAACAAGAGCAUUGAGUCAAAAAGCAUUGACCAAACUAGGCAGUAUUUUCAAGCAUACAACAGUUUAAGGUUUGCUCCUGAACCAAAACACACCUCUCAUCGUUUUAUUGGGAAUUAUGUGCAAGAAAAUUUGCCCCAGGUGAGUCACCAAGAACUUGGAGCUCAUAUGAUUGCUAAAGCCAAGGAAGAAUUCACUACUUCUUGCCAUUGUAAACCAAGCAAACCUUUAAAACAAUUGUCUGCAGUUACCACUAUUCCUGAGGAAGGCUACCAAAGCUUAGAAGAAGGAUGUCCCCAAGAGAGACAUACUUCACUUGGAGAUAUCUUGAGGUCACAAGAGGAACAUCCUUUAGAUGGAAUAAUGGAGUUAAAUUUACCACAGGGAUCAAAGGAUCUGUACGUGAUGUGGACAUUAGAAAUGACCUAGUCACUUCCACUCAGGCUCCUGUGCUUGGUGAUCCUGUAGCUGAGACAGUUUGUAUUUUAGCUGACACCGAUCAAUGGAGCGUCCAUUUAAUUUCAAGUAAUCGACAGGAUGGAGACAAAACAGGAUCUUGUAGUCUGAGGGU
rnacentral:misc_RNA from 1 species